rnacentral:rRNA from 1 species
AUGUGUUCUUAUUUAUUGAUAGGCUUUUGGUUUGCACGACCAAUCGCAGUGAGUGCUUGUAAAAAAGCUUUUGUAACAAAUCGUGUAGGGGAUUUUGGUCUAUUAGUAGGAAUUUUAGGUUUUUUUUGGAUAACAGGUAGUUUAGAGUUUAGGGAUUUGUUCAAAAUAGCUAAUAACUGGAUUCCUAAUAAUGGAAUUAACUCUUUACUUACUACUUUGUGUGCUUUUUUAUUAUUCCUUGGUGCAGUUGCGAAAUCCGCACAAUUCCCUCUUCACAUAUGGUUACCCGAUGCUAUGGAAGGACCCACUCCUAUUUCGGCUCUUAUACACGCAGCAACCAUAUUUUUCUUCUAG